UGCUAUACAUGCAAGUCGAACGAACUCUGGUAUUGAUUGGUGCUUGCAUCAUGAUUUACAUUUGAGUGAGUGGCGAACUGGUGAGUAACACGUGGGAAACCUGCCCAGAAGCGGGGGAUAACACCUGGAAACAGAUGCUAAUACCGCAUAACAACUUGGACCGCAUGGUCCGAGCUUGAAAGAUGGCUUCGGCUAUCACUUUUGGAUGGUCCCGCGGCGUAUUAGCUAGAUGGUGGGGUAACGGCUCACCAUGGCAAUGAUACGUAGCCGACCUGAGAGGGUAAUCGGCCACAUUGGGACUGAGACACGGCCCAAACUCCUACGGGAGGCAGCAGUAGGGAAUCUUCCACAAUGGACGAAAGUCUGAUGGAGCAACGCCGCGUGAGUGAAGAAGGGUUUCGGCUCGUAAAACUCUGUUGUUAAAGAAGAACAUAUCUGAGAGUAACUGUUCAGGUAUUGACGGUAUUUAACCAGAAAGCCACGGCUAACUACGUGCCAGCAGCCGCGGUAAUACGUAGGUGGCAAGCGUUGUCCGGAUUUAUUGGGCGUAAAGCGAGCGCAGGCGGUUUUUUAAGUCUGAUGUGAAAGCCUUCGGCUCAACCGAAGAAGUGCAUCGGAAACUGGGAAACUUGAGUGCAGAAGAGGACAGUGGAACUCCAUGUGUAGCGGUGAAAUGCGUAGAUAUAUGGAAGAACACCAGUGGCGAAGGCGGCUGUCUGGUCUGUAACUGACGCUGAGGCUCGAAAGUAUGGGUAGCAAACAGGAUUAGAUACCCUGGUAGUCCAUACCGUAAACGAUGAAUGCUAAGUGUUGGAGGGUUUCCGCCCUUCAGUGCUGCAGCUAACGCAUUAAGCAUUCCGCCUGGGGAGUACGGCCGCAAGGCUGAAACUCAAAGGAAUUGACGGGGGCCCGCACAAGCGGUGGAGCAUGUGGUUUAAUUCGAAGCUACGCGAAGAACCUUACCAGGUCUUGACAUACUAUGCAAAUCUAAGAGAUUAGACGUUCCCUUCGGGGACAUGGAUACAGGUGGUGCAUGGUUGUCGUCAGCUCGUGUCGUGAGAUGUUGGGUUAAGUCCCGCAACGAGCGCAACCCUUAUUAUCAGUUGCCAGCAUUAAGUUGGGCACUCUGGUGAGACUGCCGGUGACAAACCGGAGGAAGGUGGGGAUGACGUCAAAUCAUCAUGCCCCUUAUGACCUGGGCUACACACGUGCUACAAUGGAUGGUACAACGAGUUGCGAACUCGCGAGAGUAAGCUAAUCUCUUAAAGCCAUUCUCAGUUCGGAUUGUAGGCUGCAACUCGCCUACAUGAAGUCGGAAUCGCUAGUAAUCGCGGAUCAGCAUGCCGCGGUGAAUACGUUCCCGGGCCUUGUACACACCGCCCGUCACACCAUGAGAGUUUGUAACACCCAAAGUCGGUGGGGUAACCUUUUAGGAACCAGCCGCCUAAGGUGGACCA
rnacentral:rRNA from 2 species